rnacentral:rRNA from 1 species
GAUGAACGCUGGCGGCAUGCCUAACACAUGCAAGUCGAUCGGUAAGGCUCUUCGGAGUACACGAGAGGCGGACGGCUGAGUAACGCGUAGGAACACACCCUGCAGUGAGGGAUAAGACACCGAAAGGUGUUCUAAUACCGCAUACGGUCUUCGGAUUAAAGCAUUUAUGCGCUGAAGGAGUGGCCUGCGUCAUAUUAGAUAGUUGGUGAGGUAAUGGCUCACCAAGUCGAUGAUGUGUAGCUGGUCUGAGAGGAUGAUCAGCCAGACUGGAACUGAGACACGGUCCAGACUCCUACGGGAGGCAGCAGUUAGGAAUAUUUCACAAUGAGCGAAAGCUUGAUGGAGCAAUGCCGCGUGCAGGAUGAAGGCCCUCGGGUUGUAAACUGCUUUUAUAAGAGAAGAUUAUGACGGUAACUUAUGAAUAAGGGACGGCUAACUACGUG